AUACGGAGGGGGUUAGCGUUGUUCGGAAUUACUGGGCGUAAAGCGCACGUAGGCGGAUUGGAAAGUUGGGGGUGAAAUCCCAGGGCUCAACCCUGGAACUGCCUCCAAAACUAACAGUCUAGAGUUCGAGAGAGGUGAGUGGAAUUCCAAGUGUAGAGGUGAAAUUCGUAGAUAUUUGGAGGAACACCAGUGGCGAAGGCGGCUCACUGGCUCGAUACUGACACUGAGGUGCGAAAGCGUGGGGAGCAAACAGGAUUAGAAACCCCAGUAGUCC
rnacentral:rRNA from 1 species